CCUACGGGAGGCAGCAGUAGGGAAUAUUGCUCAAUGGGGGAAACCCUGAAGCAGCAACGCAGCGUGGAGGAUGAAGGUUUUCGGAUUGUAAACUCCUUUUGGUAGAGAAGAGAAUGACGGUAUCUAACGAAUAAGCACCGGCUAACUCCGUGCCAGCAGCCGCGGUAAUACGGAGGGUGCAAGCGUUACUCGGAAUCACUGGGCGUAAAGAGCGCGUAGGCGGGAUAGCAAGUCAGAUGUGAAAUCCUAUGGCUUAACCAUAGAACUGCAUUUGAAACUGUUAUUCUUGAGUAUGGGAGAGGUAGGUGGAAUUCUUGGUGUAGCGGUAAAAUCCGUAGAGAUCAAGAGGAAUACUCAUUGCGAAGGCGACCUGCUAGAACAUAACUGACGCUGAUGCGCGAAAGCGUGGGGAGCAAACAGGAUUAGAUACCCCGGUAGUC
rnacentral:rRNA from 1 species